CGGGGUGAGUAACGCGUGGAUAACCUGCCUCACACAGGGGAUAACAGUUAGAAAUGACUGCUAAUACCGCAUAAGCGCACGGUACCGCAUGGUACAGUGUGAAAAACUCCGGUGGUGUGAGAUGGAUCCGCGUCUGAUUAGGUAGUUGGUGAGGUAACGGCCCACCAAGCCGACGAUCAGUAGCCGACCUGAGAGGGUGACCGGCCACAUUGGGACUGAGACACGGCCCAA
rnacentral:rRNA from 1 species